CGCCAAUUAACGGUUGACACGUUUGAUAGAGAAUUUGGUACGACAAUGUACACUUCUACGUCGAUGGGGUCACCGGAAAACACCAGCUCCGACAAGCAGUGCACCAAUAGGACGGGGGACGAUCACGAUUCCGUUUGCCACAGCAGAGAUCAGAAGGAAGGAGGUGAUGAUGAGGAUGACAAUGACAACAAAAAAGGGUCUAAAAACUCCUCAUCUUCUACAAAGAGGAAGAGGGCAGCCGCCAUCCACAACCAGUCUGAACGAAAAAGAAGAGACAAGAUUAAUCAAAGGAUGAAGACACUGCAGAAG
rnacentral:misc_RNA from 1 species